rnacentral:rRNA from 1 species
AGUGAACGCUGGCGGCGUUCUUAACACAUGCAAGUCGAACGAGAACGGAAUAUAGCUUGCUAUAUUUGUCAGCUAAGUGGCGCACGGGUGAGUAAUGUAUAGAUAACCUGCCCUUAAGAAAGGAAUAACAGUUGGAAACGACUGCUAAUGCCCUAUAUGCCUUUAAUACAUAAGUAUGCAAGGGAAACGCUUUAGUGCUUAAGGAUGGGUCUGUAUGGUAUCAGCUUGUUGGUGAGGUAAUGGCUCACCAAGGCUAUGACGCCUAACUGGUUUGAGAGGAUGAUCAGGCACACUGGAACUGAGACACGGUCCAGACUCCUACGGGAGGCAGCAGUGGGGAAUAUUGCACAAUGGACGAAAGUCUGAUGCAGCAACGCCGCGUGGAGGAUGACACAUUUCGGUGCGUAAACUCCUUUUAUAUGGGAAGAUAAUGACGGUACUAUAUGAAUAAGCACCGGCUAACUCCGUGCCAGCCGCCGCAGUAA